AGGGCGCAGGGUGGAUGCCUUGGCACUAAGAGCCGAUGAAAGACGUGAUAAGCUGCGAAAAGCUUCGGGGAGGAGCACAUAUCCAAUGAUCCGGAGAUAUCUGAAUGGGGAAACCCGGCAGAGGAAACCUCUGUCAGCGUGCAGUGAAUACAUAGCUGUACGUGGGGAACCCGGGGAACUGAAACAUCUAAGUACCCGGAGGAAGAGAAAGAAAAUUUAUCGAUUUCCAAAGUAGCGGCGAGCGAAAUGGAAAGAGCCCAAACCGUGAUGCGUGCAUCGCGGGGUUCGGACUGCGUUGUGGCAGACGUAAGAUAGGAGAACGGACUGGGAAGUCCGGCCGGAGAGAGUGAAAGCCUCGUAUCCGAAAUCCCAAGUCGCCUAGCAGGAUCCAGAGUAGGACGAGACACGAGAAACCUUGUCUGAACGAGCGGGGACCACCCCGUAAGGCUAAAUACUUCUUAGUGACCGAUAGCGCAUAGUACUGUGAAGGAAAGGUGAAAAGUACCCCGGGAGGGGAGUGAAAGAGAACCUGAAACCCUGUGUCUACAAGCUGUGGGACCUCUUUAUAUGAGGGACUGCGUACUUUUUGUAGAACGGUCCGGCGAGUUGUGCGUACUGGCGAGGUUAAGGACUUAAGGUCUGGAGCCGAAGUGAAAGCAAGCGUUAAUAGCGCGUCAAGUCAGUGAGUGCAGACCCGAAACCGGGUGACCUAUCCAUGUCCAGGUUGAAGCUUCCGUAAGAGGAAGUGGAGGACCGAACCCACAUCCGUUGAAAAGGGUGGGGAUGAGGUGUGGAUAGGGGAGAAAUUCCAAUCGAACCCGGAGAUAGCUGGUUCUCCUCGAAAUAGCUUUAGGGCUAGCCUCAUGAGAGUCUUAUGGAGGUAGAGCACUGAAUUGCCUAGGGGGCGUCAAAGCUUACCAAAGCAUAUCAAACUCCGAAUGCCAUCAAGAUGAUUCAUGGGAGUCAGACCAUACGAGAUAAGUUGGAUGGUCAAAAGGGAAAGAGCCCAGACCUACAGCUAAGGUCCCAAAGUACGUGUUAAGUGGAAAAGGAUGUGGGGAUUCUAAGACAACUAGGACGUUGGCUUAGAAGCAGCCAUUCAUUGAAAGAGUGCGUAAUAGCUCACUAGUCGAGAGUCCCUGCGCCGAAAAUGUCCGGGGCUGAAACACGACACCGAAGCUUAGGAAUGUGUAAACAUUGGUAGAGGAGCAUUGCUAGCGGGAUGAAGCCAUACCGUAAGGAGUGGUGGACUGCUAGGAAGAGAGAAUGCCGGAAUGAGUAGCGAGAUGAAGGUGAGAAUCCUUCAGGCCGAAUAUCUAAGGUUUCCAGAGUAAAGCUGAUCUGCUCUGGGUAAGUCGGGACCUAAGGCGAGGUCGAAAGACGUAGUCGAUGGAUAACAGGUUGAAAUUCCUGUACCGCAUAUAAACAGAACUGUGGGGACACAGACAGGGAAUGGAAUCCGGGAGUGGAGAUCCCGGUGCAAGCGAGGUAGGAGUGCUGUUGGCAAAUCCGCAGCACGAUCUGAAGACGUGACGCGUACCGAACAUAAGUAGGGAAGUCCAGGCCCCUGGCUGUCAAGAAAAGCCGCUAUCGUUUUAUAUGUGCCCGUACCGCAAACCGACACAGGUGGAUGAGGAGAGAAUCCUAAGGCCGACGGGAGAAGUAUUGUUAAGGAACUCGGCAAAAUGACUCCGUAACUUCGGGAGAAGGAGUGCCAUGUAAAAGUGGCCGCAGAGAAUUGGCCCAAGCAACUGUUUAGCAAAAACACAGGUCUAUGCAAAACCGAAAGGUGAGGUAUAUGGGCUGACGCCUGCCCGGUGCUGGAAGGUUAAGGGGAGAGGUUAGCGCAAGCGAAGCUUUGAACUUAAGCCCCAGUAAACGGCGGCCGUAACUAUAACGGUCCUAAGGUAGCGAAAUUCCUUGUCGGGUAAGUUCCGACCCGCACGAAAGGCGUAAUGAUUUGGGCACUGUCUCAACAAUGCACCCGGUGAAAUUGAAAUACCAGUGAAGAUGCUGGUUACCUGCGCCAGGACGGAAAGACCCCAUGGAGCUUUACUCCAGUUUGAUACUGGGAUUCGGCAUGGUAUGUACAGGAUAGGUGGGAGACUGAGAAGGUAUGACGUCAGUUGUACCGGAGUCGCUGUUGGGAUACCACCCUUACCAUGUUGGAUUUCUAACCUGUGGCCGUAAGCCGGUCAGGGGACAAUGUCAGGCGGGGAGUUUGACUGGGGCGGUCGCCUCCGAAAGGGUAUCGGAGGCGCUCAAAGGU
rnacentral:rRNA from 1 species